UACGUAGGGAGCAAGCGUUGUCCGGAAUCAUUGGGCGUAAAGAGCGCGUAGGCGGUCCGGUAAGUCGGUUGUGAAAACUGGGGGCUCAACCCUCAGAGGCCGACCGAUACUGCCGGGCUAGAGUCCGGAAGAGGCGAGUGGAAUUCCUGGUGUAGCGGUGAAAUGCGCAGAUAUCAGGAAGAACACCCGUGGCGAAGGCGGCUCUCUGGGACGGUACUGACGCUGAUGCGCGAAAGCGUGGGGAGCGAUCCGG
rnacentral:rRNA from 1 species